rnacentral:lncRNA from 1 species
CUGCCCGUGUGUUGACUCCAACAAGUGGCCGAAGCUGCUUCAGCGAUCUUUCCCCCUGCAGCCACCACUUGUCCGUGUGCCAUCUUUGUUCGGUCAACUUCAACAAUCCACCGAAGCUGCUCCAUCCACGUCCACACGCCCCUGCAGCUCACCGAAACCCCAAGUUCCGGUUAACGGUGCUUCCUCCUCCAUCGGUUUGUUGACCGUAAACCCCCCCACUCAUCCAUUUCGACAUCACCGCAGCUCUCCACCCAAUCUCUCUCUCGCGUUGUUACUUCUUCGUUCAGUUCACGUCCGCACGUCCUCCACCGGCGAUUUCUUUCAGCUGCCGUGUCCGAAGUUCCUCGCCAAAGAAAACUGAGCAAUCUUCCUCCGAACCGAAGCCUCAUGAAGCAGCUGCUCCUUCAUCAUUGAUCUUCACCGAGUCAGGCCCAACAUCACCGUGGCUCAGCCCAUAUCAACGGCCCAGCAAGUUACCAUUCUUCUGCAACCCAUCUUCACGUAAAGCCAGCCCAUUUGAAGUCCAUCAGUAGCCCAACAGAACAGUCUAAUUAAUUGGGUCUUCAGCCCAAUUCAGCAAGGCCCAAUUCCAGCAAGUUCAAUUGGUUUUAGCAGCCCAUUUUGGGCCCAAGAAGAAGGCCCAAGCCCGCGACCAGCAGCCUGCAGAAGCCCAAGACCUAAACUCAGCCUUGCUGAGUUGUGUUGGGCCCGUUUUAGGCCCGGUCCGAGAGUCCGCCGACGCCGCCGAAAAUUAAGGUUUCGGCCGCCGUCGCGUCGUUGUCGCGGUGAACCGGUUUUCGCGAUACACCGGUGAGUUUAUACUCUAAACUCUGCUUAGUAGGUUAAUGACGUUUAAGGGGUGUUUAGAUUUAUUUUAUUAGGAAUUAGGUGGUUAGUUAGAUUAAAUUAGAAAUUGAAUUAUUUAAUUGAGCAUGUUAGGUGGUUAGCAUAGUUUAGCUAAGGCCUAAAUAAAUUGUACUAUUUAUCUAGAAGGGUUCGGGAAUUUUCCGGGUCCGUAUUGGUUAUUAAUUUAAUGAUUUUGGCCUAGGUUAUUAUUUGUAGAAUUUAAAUUGAUUUAUUUAAUUGAUUUCAGUAAUUAUUUAAUUAUUAAUUAUUUUUCCGGAAAUUAGACCGGGAUAGUCGGUGACCGGAAUUUUGUGCUGAUUGCAAUGGUGUGGUUAAUUUCUGCAAUUGAGUGCUAAGUUAUGCAAAUUGAGUGCUGAUUGAAUUUUUGGUAUUUAAUUCCAAAAAUUAUGAAUUUCCAAUAUUUAUUCAGAAAAUCCUAGGUGUCGGGUUUUGAUACCGAAAAUGGUUUUUAGUACUAUAUGAAAAUAGUGGGAUUUCAAAAAUGAGGAAUAUCAAUUUUUCUGGAUCAAGUUGACCGUGUACCCACACACGAGUAAUUUCAUGUGAAUUUCUAAUACGAAGAAAAAGGCCAGGCUCACCAUUUUAAUUGAAGCAUUUGAGUGCAAUGCACGGUGCCUUGGGCCAUAUUUGAGUGAUCGUGUGAUGGUUAUGAGAAAUCGUCCCGGGCUGUUGAGCUGGACGUUAUCCCUAUUUGGGAUACCCCCUGGACAACGGGAAGCCGGUCGCAGUUGAUUCUGGACCCUAUGCUCCUUCGGGAAAGCCGUCUGAUAAAGAGACGUGCCGUGCUCAAUGGGGUGAGACGAUGCCUGGCAAUGCCAGAAGACCGCCGAACUGAGAGUAGGCCGUGCUAUAUGCCGAGAUCAAAUCUAAGAACGCAUGAUUAAUUGAGUGUGGCGUUUCAAUUACUGGAGCUUUUUUGUUGCUCAUGCUCUCGUGUUGUCUAUGAGAUAAAUUGCACUGACCUGCAGGGUGGAUCUGAGACGAGGUAAGUCUCCUUGAUUGUGUGAUUGCGUGCUUAGGACGCUUCUUGGCGUAUUUCCCUCCUAAUUGGGGUUUAGAGUUUAGACUCGCUGAGAUGAUAUCUCACCCCAUUGUGGGACAACAUUUUCAGGGUCAUCGAGUGGAGGACCUGGAGCUGAGAGGAGGUGAUCGGAAGCGUAGGUCAGUUAGGACCGCUUCUUUUUGGAAGGCCAGUCUUUUGUAGUCUUUUGGCCAUAGACUUGUGUUCAUGACUCAGUGUAUAUAUAAAAGCCUGUUUGUGUGUGAAUCUAUUAUCCUGCCUUUCUAUCCCGAGAUGAUUACUGUCAGGGGAUUUCUUUUCGCUUCCGCAUGUGCAAUAAAAUGGAAAGGGUCGGCGACUCGUCCUGGGAAGUCGCAAAUUUUUAUCGACCAGAUAGGGAUGGGCACGCGCUUGGGGUCCGGGGCGUGACAGGUCUCGCCGACGUCAGGCGUCAGGCGAGGCUUGAGCCUUGCUAGACAUCAGCGAGGCCUUCGCCUCCACCUCGCCAGAUCGACAAGGCUCUAUUUGAGCUCACUUGAUGAUGGCAAGCUCGAGCUUUGCUUGAUCGGUGAGGAUUGAGCCUUGCCAGAUGUCGGUGAGGCCUUCGCCUUGCCUAGCUGAUGGCCGGCAAUCGCCGUGCCAGCCACCAGCUAAGGAAGGAGGAAGAAGGAAUAAAAAGGAAAAAUAAUAAUUAUAAUUUCAAUAUAUAUAUAUAUAUAUAUAUAUAAAGUUAAAGAGGGAAAGAGAGAGUGUGGGGCUUGGGUUGGAAAUGGGUUCUAAGUCCAACCCAUUUAAGACAUUUAUCUUAAGCCAUUAAUUUUUAAACCUAUUUACUAAUCUCUUCAAAAAGUAAGUGACCCAUAUCUGAUUUAUUUAUGAUAUAAAUAGGUAAUAUAUGGGUCUAAGACCCAUUUUGACACAUCUAAUCGUAGCCUCUAAUAAUAAUGUCCCUUAGGAGUCUCCCACUCACGUCCAAACUCACAUGCGUCGAAUAAAAUUCUACGAAAGUGCAUCACGAUAGCUCUUUGCCGUGUCCGUUAUGAAUCCGCCACCGUUCAAGAACAUUCCCCUGGAAUACCAUCGCAUUGGCACGGAAAUAUAUUUUGUGAAACCUUUUUAAUUUGUAUUUGCUAUUUGUGAAUGGGUCUCAAAUCUCAAAAAGAAAAAUUAAUAUAUUAAUUAGACAAUGUAGUGUGGAGGCAGAUGGUGAGAACGUUAGCUAGAAACUCGCAAUCUUUCCACAUUUUUUUCGCUAUUACUAUUGUAAGGGUAGAUAUCGUUGAGUUUAUGCGUCAAGUUCUUGCCAAAUCGAAUUUUGAGUUGAGGUUUGGAGAUUGAGAUUGGUUGGAGUCGUGCUUGGAAGUGCUUGGAGUAGCUACUGUGCGUGGAGCGGGCUGCCAGCCACCUUGGCCACACAAGGCCGGGAGCCCAGAACUGCCCUAGAAUUGCCGUUCCGCUUUGGCCAUCAGGCGAGCGCCCGAAUGUUGCGAUCCUUCCUGGAAACACGCACUUCAAUGUCUUACUUUGAACUAUAUUAUUUAGAACAUGAACACAGUUUCGUGAGGCUUUCUCUUUAGAUUUUCUAACGAAACUUUGCAAGAGAAACACGAUCGCUUGUGGAGAUUUGUGGAAUUGGGCAACAAAAACUCAUGAGCGAUUGAUUGUAACUCUCUAACUGAUGGUAGAAUCUUUGAUUUUGACUCUUCUCGUGGAGUAGUUCCAGACAUUUGAAACAAAGUACGUGAAACUCUUGUGUCCUUUUUUUUUUCCUUCUAAAUUUCUCUUACAUCCUUUCACGUUUGAUAUUUCAUUGCCAAAUUCAUUUAUUUCCCCAUUGGUUCACAACUGUUGAUAUCAAAGCUCGAGUUAAGAUAUCUAAAGUUGAUUUGGGAUACGAAAGUUUGGGUAUUAAAAACCCUCCUAAAGAGCUUCACAAGCAUUACCUAUUCUGGCAUAAGCAGACAUUACAAGUAUCUUAAGAUGGCACCAUCUAGAGAUUGCUACAAAUAAGAAAAAUGAAUAGUCUGAAAUGUCUUCGGGGUACAUGAUGCUUGCUUGACCCUAGUGGCCAUGGCCUGUAUGUCCUACACAAACCUACAUCAAGGCACUCACAAAGACAAAUGAAUCGAGUAAGCACCCGGUUAUCGUGAUCCACAUUAGGUAACACGUUUUCCAAGUCUUAUUUUGACCUAUUUUGUUUAAAAUACAAACAUGGAUUUGUGAGGCUUUCUCUUAGGUUUUCGAUCGAAACUUAGUGAUUAGUAACACGAGAGCUUGUGACUUGUGAGGGUUUCUGUAUUGGGUUUUCGAGAAACGCAUGGGUGAUUGAUUGUAACUUUGCCACUCCUCGAUUAAUAGUAGAUUCCUCUGUGGGUGGGGUGGCUUUUAUCAUGAAGUAGGUAUAGACGCUUAGAUAGUAACAUGUAUAUUUUUAUUGUGCUAAAUGUGCUUUAUGAUUUCUUAUUGAAAUCUUAGGUAAUUUCAACCUCUCGCGUUUGAGAUUUGCAUUGUUUCACAAUAGAUAUAUACAUUUUAACAUAUAUAAUAUAAGUACACACACAUAUAUAAUAUAUAUAUAUAGUGAGCGAACCUCUAAAUAUCUCAUGCUACAUUAUUUAGUUGAAGCAUAACUAGUCCUGGCUUGUUGAGGAUUAUGCUAAGGAGCUUGCUAAUUUCGGAUCUUGGAGUCGCUAGUGAUGUCAUUUAAUUUCCUUCAAAUUGAACAUUUGGUAAUGCAUGGGGGACCUUAUGACAUUGUUUGGAGGGAUUGCUAGUAUUGGUCGUCUCUUCUCACCCAUUUACUAGUGAAAAAGAGGCUUCAUUUAUUCGUUGUUUACUUUUGAUUUUACAAGAUGUCUUUGGUGGGAGCCUAACGUGAUCAUAUGAUAAAAAUUGCAUGUACAAGAAGAGACAGGCGAAACUAUUGUUAAUGUAAAUACAUUGCCACAGAGCCGACUGCAUCAUUCUUAAUUAGUAUAGGCGGGGGACUUCAAUCCAUCUAGUUAUAUCUCAAUUUUGAUAACUUUCCACCUAUUCAUUAAUUUAUGUCAUGAUUCUAAUUAUGUAGCAAGCCAGCAUUCUCAAUCCAUAACUUCAAACACACAUUUUUUUUAAUCGUGAAUAAUUUUUCGAUUAUUUUCAACAUACCAAGUAGAUGAAAGUUUAGAAAACAAAUUCACUAAAAAUUCAUUUACUCAUACGAAUGUGCCAUAAAUGUCACUUCAAAGAAAUUCGAGGACAAUAUGCUUUUUAUUGUGAUUAGCUGAGUUUUUAAAUAGCUCAGAAGGUACUAAGAAAAAAAAAUCUACUUUAUCCCCUUAAAUCUUGGCACAAAUUAAAUCUACUUUUUCCCUUAAACUUUGGCGCAAAUCUAAUAUUUGAUUAAUUAAGUAAUAUAAACAUUUCAUAUUUUUUUUUCCAUUUGACCAAAAUAUCUUGUCUCCAUCAUCAAACAUGAUAAUUUGAGUACGGCGAUAAAUUACGCAAAAUUAAUUAGGCUUAGUGAGCCUAGCGAGGCAAAUCUGGCCCAAUAAGAGAAUGCUUUCUUGAAACUUGCCCAAAUUUGUCCUUUUAUCAAAUCAGGACAAGUCGAAUCAAAUGGAUUGCCAGGCUCUUGAGCACAUCUAUUUUUCUUGUAGUGUUUUAAAUUUAACUUUCCUUUUAGAUUAGAUGUAUAAACAUUUCUAAAAGCAAUUAUCUAGAAGUGUAUCCACGGUUUUUUUACCAAUUUCUCUUACAUUGAUUUCCUUUUUUACAAAUUUUGAGAUAUAGGAUUUAGACUCUGAUUAUAGUUAUCGAAAAUUGAACCGUUUAGAGAGGGGAAAAAAAUACUCAAAAGAUAAUCAUUUUAGAGGGAAAAGCACAAAUCUCAAUUAUCCUUUGGGCAUGGCAAUAAUGGAGGCGGGGUCUAGCAAUCUCGUGAGGUGGCGAGCACUGAGCAAAGGGGGGGAUUAUGGUCAAUGAGGGGUCCAAUGGACGAUGUCCACGUAAUUGAUGGCAAGAGGUUCCUUUUAAUCAUCCGAUGGUACAAAAGGCAAGCCCUUAUGCGGACCUUUCGAUUAAGAAAGAAAUUAGGGAGUACUAUUGUGUGAAUUAUCAAUGUCCUUUGGCGAGGACUUGUCGAUUAGCUUUUUGCUUAUGAAAUUUUCCCAUGUCAUCGAUAAUGACGAUGUCAGGUACGGUAAUCUUUUAAUUAUCAAAAGUGCCUUGGAAAGCAGUCCCAAUGGUUAAAGCCGCCUCAACCGUCCCCAGUGCUUUUGACUUUUGAGUGCUGGGAAUACUCGAGUGGUGAGAGAAGGUGGGGAAAGACAAAACAGAAAACGAGGUAGUACCUCUCGCAUGUUGAAAUAAGUGCAGGGACAUCACGUGAUUAAUUUUGGGGCUAAUUGCUUUAUAUAAGUGAAAGUCCAUCAUGCGGACCUAGCUUUUUGCUUUUGAUGAUCUAGCAUUUUGAAAUGAUAUUCACUGGCAGAGUGUGCUCUUACUUAUGGAUGACAUCACAAAAUCUUUUCUUAUGCUCGAUACAAGACUCAUAUGAUGAUUGGACCUCAUUCACAUGGGUCGCCAUACCCUUAAGAGUAGGAUUCAAUUACUGACAAUUUGAAGGUGGGUCUUUAUUAGCGAAUAGCAUCGUAAAAUCGAAGCGGGACUUCAAGGUGUCUGGUGAAUAAUAUUCAAGAUUUUGGUGCAUAGAGUUCACGAGCGGGUUCUUUUACUAUAUUUUCCGUUCAAUCCAAUCCUCAUGUUGUGAUAGUAACAACCUAAAGAUUAAGCUUUAAGGAAAAAGAAAAGAAAAGAAUAGACAUGGAGAUGAGAAAAAAGAAAGGUUGAAAAACACACUUGUUAAAGCCACAAUUGAUAUUAAAUUUAGAGUAAGAUUCCGUUUAUUUCGUAAAAAAUGUGGCAUUUCUAAAAAAUAUUUUCAAGAAAAUCAUCUUUUAGAAAAAUGCAAUUAUUUUUUGAUAUUUAGGUGAAACCUAAAAAUAAAAUGAAAAAUAUUUUCAGUUGUUCUGUAAAUAAAAUCUUUUCCUCCCUACACUCUUUUUCAUUUAUUUUAUUUUUUGAUAGACCCACGCAUUUCUCCUUAUCUAACUGAUUAGACAGAUAGACCGGAUUUGAGAUUUGAGAUUUCUUUCUCUUAUCUCGUUCAAUCUUCCUCCCCAUUUUCAAUGUGUUUUACGACUGCUUUUUUCUUCUCUUUUCUUUAUGCUGCUGCCGCCCUGAUGAUCAUCUGACAACAUCCAGAACCCAACAGCAGCAGCAGCGCACGACGACCCGUUUGAGCUUUGUGAUCAUAUUCAUUCACUCAUUCAUAUAUGCCUGUAUAGCAUUGGAAUUGGAUUGUCCUAUCCCUGUUUCUCUCUCUCUCUCUCUCUCUCUCUCUCUAUUUCUCCAUGUCUGUGACACUUGCACAUUCUGAUGCUCUUUCCAGUGAUUAGACCAGACGCUUAUCGGAAUUCGUGUCCGGUGGCCACGCCGUUAGAUUCUCGAAAAUAAAGCUGUUAGCUUGUCCUUGUCAAAUACACGAGCCAAACCUAACAACCCCCCGGGGGGAGAGGGGGGCCCGGCCUUCUCUCUCUCCCUCUCCGUCUCCCUUCUGACCAUGCCACAGUAUCUUUCACUAAAGCGUACGUGAACAGCGUCCCCAAUAAUAAUGCCUCGUGUCUUUGGUUUCUGUGAUCUUGGAAAAAAACCGCAUUUCAUAAUAAUAUCCACAGCCAUUGAAUGGCCUCUAACUGGGCCCCACCACCCCACCGCCCCACCACCCGACAUCCAUCUGCAAUCUCGUCUCCUCCUCCUUCAGUCCUUUGUUCUUUCUUUUGGGUUCUUUUCUUAGGAGUGGAAGUAGUGGUGGCAGUCGAGUGCAGAUGCAGGCGCAAGUGCAAGGGCAAUUUCAUUUUGGUUUCCAGAUGAUUCUGAGCAAAAGAUCUGAUGCGAUUCUUAUGUCUCCAGCAUAUAUAAACACAUAUGAACAUCUCAUAGAUUAAAAAGCAAAGGAGAGGAAGAGAGGCGCCACUGACCCCACCACCCUCCAUACAUAUUUCUCGAGAUUACCACCCACCAUACAUAUUUCUCGAGACUACCUCCCUCCCUAAUGGAUACAUUACCUUUUUAUCUUAUGGUGACUACCCUAUUACAGGAAUUUAAUAACCCUCCAUUUUUUGGCUGAGAAUAUGAGGGAAGGGGAAAAGAGAGGGCACUAAAAUUUUAUUAGAACCAGUUGCUCAGCCGCUGUGGCUGAGACAACCACCAUCACAACCACCACCACCACAAACACUUAGGGAAAAACUAAAAUACCCCCCUUUCAACAGCACCAAGUCUUUCUAUAAGCAGCAAAGUCUCUCACGGCACAUUGCAACUUCAUGGGUUCUCAUCACUGAAGUUGGGGUACCACUCCUCCUGGGGCGGCAGCAGGGGGGUACGGGUACGGGGCGGCAGCAGGGGGGUAUGGGUACGGGUACGGGUACGGGUACGGGGCGGCAGCCGGGGGGUAUGGGUAUGGGUAAGGGUACGGCUGCGGGCAGUUGAUAGCUGUCGGCGGCCAGGCGUACGUCGUGGGCUGGAACCUCGCAUUGCCCAUAGCCCUCUGCUGAUUCAUCAGAGAGGCUUGCUGCUGCUGCUGCUGGUAAGGAUUUCCGGGCAUGGCUUCCGCCCUGGCCCCAGAGAAGGAGCCAUCCGCUCCGCCCACUCUUCCACCGCCGCCCAGCGAGGCAUCUGGGAGGCCUGGGACAGCUGGGAAAUUGCUCAUUUGCCCUGUUGGCAUGCUGCCCAUACGACCCAUUGGAAUCUUCAUACCACCCAUUUGCCCACCACUUCCAUUAGCACCACCACCCAUGUGGAGGAACCCAUUUUCCAUUCCUCCAACCUUUUUGCCGCCGUUGCCAUUGAUGUUGCCACUGGGACCGCCGCUGCUGCCAUUCUUGUUGUUAGGGUUACCGCCAUGGUUACCAUUUUUGGCAUCACCCCCGUUCUUGCCACCAUUUUUACCACCACCGCCACCUUGGCUUUGAUUAUUUCCUCCUCCGCCUUUUUUCCCUCCGUUCCCAUUUUUUCCAUCAUUGUUCUGGAUAGGCGCACCUCCACCACCGCCACCUUUCUUGCCAUAAUUACCAGCGCUACCUCCAACAUUUCCCCCACCCUUUUGAGCAUUCAAGAGCUGCUGGGCAUGAUUCCUAUUCAUCAUCUCAUUUAGCAUCAUCAUGUUGGGCAUCUGGCCAUUGCCCAUCAUUGGCUUCGUCUUGUUGGGUGCUUGGUGGUAGGCAUCAUCAUAAUCAUCAAAAUCCUCAUCAUCCAUAAAAUCAUCAUCUUCAUCAUAAUCCCACUCUUCAUCAGUGAAUUCCUCAUCCUCAGGCAGAAUGAAUUUCCCUCCUCCUUUCUGGUUCAGGAUCGGACCCGGGUCCUUGGAGGGCAUCUUGAGGUCCUUGAAUUGGGGCAGCUUGAGAUCUUGCAACGCUUUCAUCUGCUGGAGCUGCUGAAGCUGCUGCUGGUUCGGGACGUUCUUACCAUUUUUGGCAUUACCCCCGUUCUUGCCACCAUUUUUACCACCACCGCCACCUUGGCUUUGAUUAUUUCCUCCUCCGCCUUUUUUCCCACCGUUCCCAUUUUUGCCAUCAUUGUUCUGAAUAGGCGCACCUCCACCACCGCCACCUUUCUUGCCAUUAUUACCAGCACUACCUCCAACAUUUCCCCCACCCUUUUGAGCAUUCAAGAGCUGCUGGGCAUGAUUCCCAUUCAUCAUCUCAUUCAGCAUCAUCAUGUUGGGCAUCUGGCCAUUGCCCAUCAUUGGCUUCGUCUUGUUGGGUGCUUGGUGGUGGGCAUCAUCAUAGACAUCAUCAAACUCCUCAUCAUCCAUAGAAUCAUCAUCUUCAUCAUUGACUUCAUCAGACUCCUCAUCAUCCUUAGAAUCAUCAUCUUCAUCAUUGUCAUCAGACUCUUCAUCAGUGAAUUCCUCAUCCUCAGGCAGAAUGAAUUUCACUCCUCCUUUCUGGUUCAGGUUUGGACCCGGGUCCUUGAAGGGCAUCUUGAGGUCCUUGAAUUGGGGCAGCUUAUGAUCUUGGGAAGAUUUCAUCUGCUGAAGCUGCUUGAGCUGCUGGAGCUGCUGAUGGAGCUGCAGCUGGGUCGGAUGUGGAAACAGCUGCUGGCUCGGGAGGUUCUGACCACCCUUAGGCUGGUUGUUU